rnacentral:rRNA from 1 species
UACGGGGGGAGCAAGCGUUGUUCGGAUUUACUGGGCGUAAAGGGCGCGUAGGCGGUAGCACAAGUCAGUUGUGAAAUCUCCGGGCUUAACUCGGAAAGGUCAACUGAUACUGUGCGACUAGAGUGCAGAAGGGGCAACUGGAAUUCUUGGUGUAGCGGUGAAAUGCGUAGAUAUCAAGAGGAACACCUGCGGCGAAGGCGGGUUGCUGGGCCGACACUGACGCUGAGGCGCGAAAGCCAGGGGAGCGAACGGG